rnacentral:sRNA from 1 species
CUGGAAAAUGGGGGUAGUUAUAACAUCUACCUUCUGGGCCUCCUGAGAGGGCUGUAGUAUGUCAAGCCAGUGCCUCCAGUACCUACGGAAAAGGACACUGCCCCAAAUUAUCCAGACCGAUGGGUUCCAAAAAGGAUGACAGAGGGACCUUCUGAGCUCCACUGUUCCUGCCGUGGCUCCAACUGUCUCCCCCACCAUUCCUGAGCUUGCCCAUUGCCAGCCCUGCAGACCCCCCACACCCCAGCCCUGCAUUGAUGCUCUUCACCUCACAGGCCUCUCCCCUGUGUGCCUCCAACAGGAAGUGAAUACUCUGGCAAUGCCUAUGGCCACACCCCCUACUCCUCCUACAGCGAGGCCUGGCGCUUCCCCAACUCCAGCUUGCUGAGUUCCCCAUAUUAUUACAGUUCCACAUCAAGGCCGAGCGCACCGCCUACCACUGCCACGGCCUUUGACCAUCUGUAGUUGCCGUGGGGACAGUGGGAGCGACUGAGCAACAGGAGGACUCAGCCUGGGACAGGCCCCAGAG